GUGCGGUGCUGGAGAAGAGACCUCCAGAGUCAACAACAAUGAACUUUAUUGGACAACCUCUCAAAGUCGACCUAUAUGAGAAGAAGUUGGAAGCAGUAGUGGGUGGCCGGUCCAAAAAGACGGGGAGGCGUCUGCACGUCAGUUGGAGACUUUUUGUCUAGGGCGGGUUUCUCGCCACUACUGUAAACGGUCGGCGUCGUCCGACUUUAGAACGGCGUUCGGUGUCGGUGGCCCUUUUACGAGGUUUCUUCCGACGCAACCUCCAGCUUUUGAACAGUUGACCGCGAACCGACACCCGCAUCCGUUUUUUUACACAACACAACCUGAGCAAAAAGUUUGCAGAGAGUCUUACACGUUACGAAAGCGAAAUAUGUUGGUCCGAGCUACUUGUGCCCUGAAAUCCUCGGAUAAUAAGCAAAUACACCACGCAUGGAAAAGUUGAAUCUGCGUCUAUUCGAACGCACUUUGGUUAGACAUUUCCCGGGCGAGAUUCGGAGCAGGCCCAGAUGCGUCCAGUGCUGACAUCCUGAAGCAGCUGUUGAACAGCAUGGAGAACACGCGGACUUGUUGCGUGGGCUUGAUUGGGACUACCAGCUGCAGCGGUGCUCGCCACGAUACCAACCUGGCGCACGAUAUGCUGCAGUCGCACAUAGCGCCUCGCAGGGCAUGCAUCGCGUAUAGGGAGCUGGAGCGUCGCAGCGCUUUCCAGAGAGGCCUCCGGUGGAAGCGCUCGCGCCUGCAGAAAGCGCCGAAUCUUUCGUGCACGGGAGAGGAUGGCGUCGGGCAUCCCGUUCGCGCGGGCACAGGCCAGCGCGUAGGAGUCCAAGCAGGGCGCCCCUUCAGACAACUUGUACAGCGCGGUCAAGACCACGUCGUCGUUCUGAUCUGGAGCAUCACCGGUCUGGCGGUUUUCCUGCACGAGCACUUCAAGUUUGAAGAAGCGCAGCCGCGAGUUCGCGUGAGCUUGCGCGUAGAGUGUCCCGGUCACCUCAUGGAAAUGGGUCGCAAAUAGCACCGUCAUUUGCCCCGUGACGUUGGUUGCCAACUCUGAAAGCACCGCUGCCGCAAGUGCCCUUCCGUCUUCAUCGGAAGUGCCUUUGCCGAAUUCGUCAACAAUAGCGAGCGACCUGGAAGUGGCGUACCUGAGCGUCUGCGCCAUUUGGAUGCAAUCGUUCAUGAAUGUUGAUGUCUCGCGGCCGGUGGAAUCGAAACUCUUCACUCGGGCAAAUAUCCGGUCGGUCACGCCGAUUCGGGCGCUACGCGCCGGCACGUAGGAGCCAACCUGUGCCAUGUGUACAAUCAACGCAACUUGGCGCAGAAGCACGCUCUUGCCGCUUGCGUUUGGCCCUGUGACGACACAGACAUCCCCGCGCCUAACAGAGAGACUGUUAGGAACGAAAGAGUCCACGGUGAGCUCUUGAAUCGGGUGGCGAGCGUCGAUUACGUCGAUGUGACAGGCUGAUUCUGCCCCGAGGACUUGUGGACAAGUCCACUCAUAGCGCAUCGCAGAGAGGGCGAAGCUGAGCCAACAGUCGAUCUCUGCCAGCAAGUCGCAUGUGCGACUAAGCACUGGUAUCGUGGGUAUCACGGCGGCCUCGAGAUCUCGAAUGAUGCUCUUCUCGAGGUCGUUGAUGGCCCCGGGCAGAUCACCGAGCUCCUCAUCGAGCUGACGCGUUCUGUCGUUCUUCACAUAUGCAUCAGUAUCGGUGUCGAGCGCGUGCUCCAGAGAGGCAUCGGAUUCCAUCUGGGCAGCGUCUGAGCGGGAGAUCUUCAUCACAUAGCCGAGGCGCGGAUGAAACUGUACACAGAUCGACCGCUCCGUGGCGGACGACCCAAAAUACCUGCUCUUCUCCGAUUGAGCCACGCUCUCGAGAAAACUGUCCAGAGAUUCAAGGGCUAAUCUCAUAUUAUCAAGGUUUUCAUCAAAGCCGGUCUUGACGGCUGGAUUCCAGCCCGACUUGGAUCCACUCAUGUCGAUACAUGCCCCGAUUCGUGUCGCGACGCUUGUGUACCAUUCCGGGUCGAGCACGGGUGUCAACUCUUGCGCAUUUUCUUGCAGAAAAGCGCUUCUCUCGCGCCAAACAGGCAACACGAUUUGAACCAAGUCGGAGAAUCCAUUAAAGAGCCCCGCGACUGCCACGUUGCAUCCGUGGAGCGCUGCCCAGUCUUCCGCAGUCGCUGCGCCCGAAACCAAGCGCCUCCAAAGAUUUUGUGGAUGAUGCACAGCUUUCAGGAGCUUUCUGAACAAUAUCAUGUCGAUGCUGGCCAAGGCGCCGGCCAGGGCCUGAACCACUUCGAGACGCUCUCGAAUGCGCGCAGGGUCACAGAUUGGCUGCGUUAGAAUCUCGCGGAUUUUUCUCUGUCCGGGCGCCGAGGCCCCGAAGCUGCUAAUGAUCUGGUAAAGCGUGAGCCCGUGUUGAUGGACUCGAGCGCCUGACCUAGGCGCGGAAACCUUGGCCGGUAGGACCCUCAGUUCUCGCAGAAGACUCAUCGGCGAUAUAGCUAAUUGCUCCAUAUAAAAGGGC